GAAAUUUCUUAAUUCAUUUCCACAAUUGUACGGUUCAAAUAAGGAACAAUACCUUCACAUCAGAGGAAAGACUUAGCCAAACAAGUCAAGUAGCAGGUAUAUUCCCUGGCUUAUCAAUCAACAAACACAUCAUCGAUAAGCUCAAUCUAUCAAGCCUACAUUGGGCGACAUCAAAGAACCGACAUCGGAUUGAUCAUAUUCAACUGGAACAAUUUGAAUUCAGGAAAUGGUCUUAUGGACUCUUCGGUGGAAAAAAGUCGUAUUCACCAUCAAGUACCCUAGGAAAAAUUAUAAGAAGCAGAAAGGAGACAAAUCUUCGAAAUCGACCGAGGACGUUCGAUCUUACCCCCCGGAGGAAUUACGUGACAGGCUAGGCCAGACACCACCAGUAGAACCAACAGGUCAUCAAUAAUUGAACCACGCCACCCGAGCAAAGUCCAACGCCAUCAGCAAACCCGACGAAUUGUCCCAUCAGCAGAUUUGAGGUACAAAAGCCCGAUCGAACAAUCGAUCGGCCUCUUUUAGUAGUGAUCAGUGAUAGGUAUUAGUCGUUUAAGCAAGUGUAAUUAGUGUGUAAGAAGAAAAUAAAUGUUUUUUUUAUGUUAA